UACAGAGAUUACUCACAAGCACGGAGCCCUCCGGGACACUCAGGGACUGUAAGACUGUGAAGGCAGGGACUCCUUGGUGGCUCAGUCGGGAAAAACCCGGUUCAAACAGCUCCAAUGGAAUGGACACAUGCACGGAAAAGAGAGGGGAAGAAGACAGCAGGGCCUUCAAGUUGGAAGAAGCUGGUCAUUGUUGAGGACCAGCACCACACUUGUCCCGGGUCUGAAUUACCAGGAGGUUCCUUCUACCAAGAGGGGGAAAAAGGAAAGAAAAGAUGGUGGUCAGUAUGGUUUCCUGCUGUGAAUUCUUCUCUUCUGAGGUUAACAGAGGUCUGAGAGCUUUCCUGAGGCCCAAAGAAAGCCAAGUUCUUCCUACCCAGGAAGGCUCUGUUUUCAAGCACUGAUGGGACUAUAGACUGUUCCAGACACGCAGAGGUCAUGCAGCCUCUGUGGGAAGUGCGAUUCCACCCGCCACAGCGUGUUGGCCAAGCUGGCUCUCCUGCCGCCUGUGGAUAACCUGCCUGCUGCCCGCAGCCCCCCGGAUGCAAAGAAAGGAGGGAACAGCAUGCAAAAGCACCGAAGUCAAAACCCACUGCUAUCACUUCAGACAAACAGAAGAAUCCACCAGAAGAAAUGGCUAAUAACGUUACAGGUGGUUGUUUGGGGGACCAGAACCGGGUGUGGGAAGGAAAGAGGCAGAGGAUGUUCUCAGUAAAACUUCUCAGGGGCUUUUCUUUAAC